GGUUUCCCCUCUUAUUUCAAGUCUGCACAGUAGAGGAGUGAAACGGGAGCGAGGACGGAGAGAAGCAGCGCCGGACUCUGCUGGAAUGUCGCGGCAAAGGAGUAGUUUGUGCUGUUGGUUGGGUUGUGACUCUGCCCGCAAUGGAGAUGACUGCGCAAGCUACUGCCUUGCCAGUGCUGGUGUCUGCGCUGCAGCCGAGGAGAGGAGCUGUUCACGCGGUCUGUCCAGGUAACACACACCACUGGGCUUAGUCUAGCUACUAUUUGUUUUGUAUUAAUUUUUGUACUAAUUAUCUACGGUGUUGUAUUUUGAAGUUGUGCGGCCACUGGGAACUGUCUCGUGUGGCCGCUUUGUUGCGUCCUGAUGUGUGCAACUGUCUCAGAGCCUCUGUAUCAUGUGUCAUCCAAUAAAACAGUGAGUGGCCGUGGAGGAGAAAAGACACUUUGUUGUUUUCAGUUGUGUAUAGUAAAAUUCAUACAUAUGCAUAUAUGUGUAUGUUUUACAUUGGUGCCAUGAUGCCUUUUUAAAAUAUGUAUAAAUUUCUCUUGCAGGAUGAAGGAGGAGUCUUGCAUGUGCCGGGUCUAAUAAUUUGGUGUGUACAGGAAAAAGUCGAUAUCCAGUGUGGAUUUGCAUAGUUUUUGACCACCCCGAGCACAGUGGGCUGUGUAGAAAGCAUGUAGGUCAACUGUGCUGUUGCUAUGAGGAGAGGAGUGACGUGGCUCCUGCUGCCCACAGAGGUAUCCUACUAAAUAUCGGGUCUGAUACAUACACACACACACACACUGGCUUUAUGGCUCUCCUCUGACUUCCUUUGUUGAUAAUGCUGCAUACGAGAGCAUAUGCUCCUCCUGCACCCAAACGCCUCGUCCGUGCUGAGUUUGGAGUGUGAAUGUGUGUCAAUGCUGUUCACCUGAUUAUCUGAUAAUCAUUAUUAUUAUUAUUAUUAUUAUUAUCAUUAUGCCAAACGUGGACACUGAGACUCAGAAACGUUACACGCCGCAUGACUGAACCUCCACAGCUGUGGUGUUGGUGAUGAGGCUCACGCAUUGUUGCGAGUUAACCUCUGAAAUCCUCUCUCCACUGCUCAGCAGCAGCUGGCUGCUCUGUGUUUUACACUAUUAUGGCCAGUCAAGGGUUUCAUGAUGGGGUGGCAACUGUAACGCAUAAUGGUGCUUUGAUUGGCUGUCGGUGCCAGCCAGUGUUAGGCUGAUGAAAGGCUGCAGACUCAUGUUCAGACCCCCAGCCCCAGAUGAGAGCGCGUCGCUCGCUGAGUGACUGACUGAAGAUUUAAUCCUGUAUUUGACCUUCCAAGGAUACUCCCGUUAAAUAUUUAUGACUUCACACUUGACAGCACGUUAGGCAGAGUUCAGUCUGAGCCACGAUUCUGUCCACAAGCGAUUGUCCUGGUGUUACACAAUAAAUUCUACUCUGGCUACUCACUGUAGCGGAAAGCGUAGGCUGAAAGGAGUGAGUUGUUCUUGUUUGCAGAAGCAGCUGACUGGUAAACAAACCACAGAGAGGACUUUUAGUGAUACCGUCAAGUCUGUUCAGGUCUGUGUUAAAUCUAUUCAAAUGUGUGGUAAGAAAGACACGUUACCCGGCCGAUGGAGCAGCGAGCAGAGGUAGCUCACAUCCUCCUCAUCCAUCUUGUGUCAAAGGUCUUAUUUGAGCCGAGCCACAGAUAAAUCAUACUUGAAGCAGCCAAAGCCCCAGAGCAGUAAAUUAGAGCCCUCUGUGGAAAAAUAUGUCCACUCAUGUGGGCAUCACAUCUGCUCUGAGGCAGCCGCACCUUCACCAGGACAGAUACACCUGUGUGUGUGUGUGUGUGUGUGUGUGUGUGCGUGUGUGUGUGUGUGUCUCCGGAGAAUAAAACACCACAAUUUAACAUCAAAUAUGAAAGUAAACACUAGUGGGUGACAAUGAUUUUCAUUAUUGAUGAAUAUGCCAAUGACUUAAUGAUUUAAUUGAUACAGAAUGAUUGUGCCUCCAUCCACAAGCCACUGAGCGAUGGAUUAGAUUAGGACUAGAUUAGAUUCCUUUAUUGUCACUGUACCAUGAGAUGUCAUUUUGGAACAGUCAACAUCAGCAGAUGCUGAGUUUAAAGUUUAAGAUAAAUACAAUAUAACGUAAAUACUAUGCACUCUAUAAAUACUAUAAAACCUUCACUAUUGCUAUAUCUCAACCCCACAGAGGAUUAUUUUUGAGAAGAAUAGUUUCUAUUGCUUUAUUUGAGACCACAGACUUUAUAAGAGUAAGUAAAAAUGUCCCUGAAUCACUUCUGUGAGCACAUGGUGGCGUGGCACCCGUAAGACACAUAAUGCUAGUCUUUAUUUUACUUCUUCACGCGUCUGUAGUUUCUUACAGAGUGACAUGGAAUUCUUCUACAGCUGUUAGAAUUAGUCGUUUAUCCUAUCUAUCAAUCAAUCAAUCAAUCAAUGUUGGCCUCAGCUCUCCCAUGAUGCACUGCGAUAACACAGCGUCACCCUUACAAGUAAAAAAAAAAGAAAGAGAUGAGCAUCUUGCGGCGAGCCCACUCAGCAUCUCCCACAGAUCUCUCCUCAGGUCGGGUGGGAGUGUUGCAACCCUUGAAAAAACAAGCCGCCACCUACAGGAACGACUGAAUCAUCAGUGUCAUCGUCCAAUCUGAACCGCACACACACACACACGCACGCAUGUACGUGGAGAGGAGGGGUGUUGUGCCAGAUCAGGACACACACAGUCCUGGCCUUUGGGGACCAGAUGUCCCUUCAGCCCCUGUAGAGGAUCCCGGGUGGGAGACUCCUACAAUAACAUAACAAUAUGCUCCUCUGAGUAUGUGUUAAGGAAUGUAGUCAUAGGAUUGUGUGUUUAUGUGUUUUACAUAUGUAAAACCUAAUCUGUUCAUGGGAUUAUAAGAAUAAAAUGUCAUUAUUCACA